rnacentral:rRNA from 1 species
UACAGAGGGUGCAAACGUUGUUCGGAAUUACUGGGCGUAAAGCGCGUGUAGGCGGCUUGGCAAGUCGGGUGUGAAAGCCCCGGGCUCAACCUGGGAAGUGCACUCGAAACUGCUUGGCUUGAGUACUGGAGAGGGAAGCGGAAUUCUCGGUGUAGAGGUGAAAUUCGUAGAUAUCGAGAGGAACACCGGUGGCGAAGGCGGCUUCCUGGACAGUUACUGACGCUGAGACGCGAAAGCGUGGGGAGCAAACAGG